rnacentral:rRNA from 1 species
CCUACGGGAGGCUGCAGUGGGGGAUAUUGCACAAUGGGGGAAACCCUGAUGCAGCGACGCCGCGUGGGUGAAGAAGCGCCUCGGCGCGUAAAGCCCUGUCAGCAGGGAAGAAAAUGACGGUACCUGAAGAAGAAGCCCCGGCUAACUACGUGCCAGCAGCCGCGGUAAUACGUAGGGGGCAAGCGUUAUCCGGAUUUACUGGGUGUAAAGGGGGCGCAGACGGCGAUGCAAGCCAGGAGUGAAAGCCCGGGGCCCAACCCCGGGACUGCUCUUGGAACUGCGUGGCUAGAGUGCAGGAGGGGCAGGCGGAAUUCCGGGUGUAGCGGUGAAAGGCGGAGAUAUCAGGAGGAACACCGGUGGCGAGGGCGGCCUGCUGGACUGCAACUGACGUUGAGGCCCGAAAGCGUGGGGAGCAAACAGGAUUAGAUACCCGGGUAGUC